GGUAGACGACAGAACUAAACUGGUAGUUUCCUUUCUCGCAAGUUCCUUUACAACCAAGUGCUUAACCCUUUGAGGACAGUACUGGAUCUCCCUACUGAUGGCUCUCAGCUUGACAGCUUUUUUCAUGGCCCUAUUGGUGCUUUUCUUUGCUGUUUCUUCCCCACCCCCAACAGCUAAUAAACUGUUUGUUCUCACCGUCCGUCUCCCAUUACCAGCUGUUUUAGAUAAUCUUGCUAUUUAAUUCUAAUCAGCAUCUAAUUCUUCAAUCUGAAUAACCUGCUUAGGAAAUUAAUCUUUUGUGAUGUCAAGGGGGUUGGGGGAGGCACAUAUGAGCCUAAAGGCCUCUUGAUCAGUAAACAUAUUUAUUGUAAAGGCCUAUUUUGAAGAUAUUGCCACUUAGAUGUGAAACCAGCUUCUUCCCACAUUUGCAAUAACUACUUACCAAGCUCUCCCACACCCAGCAUUUUGACUUCAAAGUUUUCAUUUUCCACAUCCUUCCAAUCUCACCCACCUUGAGUGAUUUUCUUCAGCUGUAUGGACCCAAUUUUAUAUCAUCUGCUCCUCUAACUUGUAUAAUUCUCUCUUUCCACCACCUCAAACCAUCAGAGGUCAGCCUUUCAACCACUGCUCUAAUAGCUACUUGCAAAUUGGAGGGGAGGAUCAUAACAUGGGUGGCUGAUCUAUCGCAGCCAGUUUUGCAAUCUGGCCAAAGGUGAAUUUUACCCUUGUUAAGUCUUGGAGUAUGAAGCUGGCUGCCCUGUGGUACAUCACCCAGUGACAGCUGAACCAGACAGCAGGUUAAUCAGCCAGUGUUGAUGCUGGGUCUGACUCUACCUGAUGUGCACUUUCAAAUUGGUGGUCACUGAAUAGCAGUCAGCUGCAGGAACAGACAUUAGCCUAGAUUUACUGUUGCUUUAAUGCAGGAGGUAACCCAUGGGUUAAAAUACUGAUUGGGAUAUUAGGCUGCUGAAUUUUAGCAGAGAGUUCCAGUCGAUUUGGCAAUGAUAUAAAUCAAUGUUUCUUUAACAGCUCCUGUGGAUGCUGAAGUAAGGAUUCAAGGACAGUGAAGAAAAGGGGUUAUGAAAUGCUGGAAAGCUAACGAGUAAAACAAAGUUCAAAGACUGUCCUUGGAGGCCUGGUGAGUUUUGGUGACAUCAUCACGGACACUGUCUUGGAUGGUUAUUGAUUCGAAGAUUGUGUGGAACCAAAACUCAGGUUUCAGCCUGAGGAUCUGCAGGUACACAGUGGAGGUGUGCAGGACUGGACGCAGAUAAACCCACAGGUGAGCUCGCACCACGUUUGUAAAUGUUAUUUUGGGGCUAAAUUUAAAAAAGCAACAUUUUGGGCUCCCAUCCAC